CCCUGAUGCCGUCGAGCCAAGAAAAGUUUCUAAGUUUAGCUAAUGUUGCCCGUACCGUAAACCGACACAGGUGGGUGGGAUGAGUAUUCUAAGGCGCGUGGAAGAACUCUCUUUAAGGAACUCUGCAAAAUAGCACCGUAUCUUCGGUAUAAGGUGUGGUUCGCUUCGUACUAGGAUUUACUCCGAAAGCGAAGAAACUUACAACAAAGAGUCCCUCCCGACUGUUUACCAAAAACACAGCACUCUGCUAACUCGUAAGAGGAUGUAUAGGGUGUGACGCCUGCCCGGUGCUCGAAGGUUAAUUGAUGGGGUUAGCAUUAGCGAAGCUCUUGAUCGAAGCCCGAGUAAACGGCGGCCGUAACUAUAACGGUCCUAAGGUAGCGAAAUUCCUUGUCGGUUAAAUACCGACCUGCAUGAAUGGCGUAACGAGAUGGGAGCUGUCUCAAAGAGGGAUCCAGUGAAAUUGUAGUGGAGGUGAAAAUUCCUCCUACCCGCGGCAAGACGGAAAGACCCCGUGGACCUUUACUACAGCUUGACACUGCUACUUGGAUAAGAAUGUGCAGGAUAGGUGGGAGGCUUUGAGUAUAUGACGCCAGUUGUAUAUGAGCCAUUGUUGAGAUACCACUCUUUCUUAUUUGGGUAGCUAACCAGCUUGAGUUAUCCUCAAGUGGGACAAUGUCUGGUGGGUAGUUUGACUGGGGCGGUCGCCUCCCAAAUAAUAACGGAGGCUUACAAAGGUUGGCUCAGAACGGUUGGAAAUCGUUCGUAGAGUAUAAAGGUAUAAGCCAGCUUAACUGCAAGACAUACAAGUCAAGCAGAGACGAAAGUCGGUCUUAGUGAUCCGGUGGUUCUGUGUGGAAGGGCCAUCGCUCAAAGGAUAAAAGGUACCCCGGGGAUAACAGGCUGAUCUCCCCCAAGAGCUCACAUCGACGGGGAGGUUUGGCACCUCGAUGUCGGCUCAUCGCAUCCUGGGGCUGGAGCAGGUCCCAAGGGUAUGGCUGUUCGCCAUUUAAAGCGGUACGCGAGCUGGGUUCAGAACGUCGUGAGACAGUUCGGUCCCUAUCUGCCGUGGGCGUAAGAAGAUUGAAGAGAUUUGACCCUAGUACGAGAGGACCGGGUUGAACAAACCACUGGUGUAGCUGUUGUUCUGCCAAGAGCAUCGCAGCGUAGCUAAGUUUGGAAAGGAUAAACGCUGAAAGCAUCUAAGCGUGAAGCCAACUCUAAGAUGAAUCUUCUCUAAGCUCUCUAGAAGACUACUAGUUUGAUAGGCUGGGUGUGUAAUGGAUGAAAGUCCUUUAGCUGACCAGUACUAAUAGAGCGUUUGGCUUAUCUUUAAUAAAGCAU
rnacentral:rRNA from 1 species